AUACUUACCUGGCAGGGGAGAGACCAUGACCACCAAGGUGGUUUCCCAGAGUGAGACUCACCCACUGCACUCCGGAUGUGUUGAUCCCUGUGAACUCUUCAAAUGCAGGAAACUCAACUACAUAAUUUGUAGUAGCUGGGGACUGUGUUUGUGCUUUCCCCUG
ensembl:snRNA U1 U1 spliceosomal RNA